AUUGAACGCUGGCGGCAUGCCUAACACAUGCAAGUCGAACGAGCGGCGUACGGGUGAUUAAUGUCCGUGAACCUGCCUGAUGGAUGGGUAUACCUACUGGUAACGGUAGCUAAAACCGCCUACCACCAGAUGUCCCCAGAUGGGAUGAUCUAGUUGGUGGGGCAACGGAUCACCAAGGCGACGAUCCGUAGCGGGUCUGAGAGGAUGACCAGCCACACUGGAACUGAGACAAGGUCCAGACUCCUACGGGAGGCAGCAGGGGGGAAUGUUGCACAAGGGGCGCAAGCCUGAUGGAGCCAUGCCGCGUGUGUGAUGAAGGCCUUCGGGUUGUAAAGUACUUUCAGCAGGGAAGCGUUACCCGCAGAAGAAGCACCGGCUAACUCCGUGCCAGCAGCCGCGGUAAUAC
rnacentral:rRNA from 1 species